CCUACGGGUGGCAGCAGUGAGGAAUAUUGGUCAAUGGGCGCUAGCCUGAUCCAGCCAAGUAGCGUGAAGGAUGACUGCCCUAUGGGUUGUAAACUUCUUUUAUAUGGGAAUAAAGUGCAGUAUGUAUACCGCUUUGCAUGUACAUUAUGAAAAAGGAACGGCUCACUUCGUGCCAGCAGCCGCGGUAAUCCGGAGGAUCCGAGCGUUAUCCGGAUUUAUUGGGUUUAAAGGGAGCGGAGGCGGGUUGUUAAGUCAGUUGUGAAAGUUUGCGGCUCAACCGUAGAAUUGCAGUUGAUACUGGCAUCCUUGAGUACAGUAGAGGUAGGCGGAAUUCGUGGUGUAGCGGUGAAAUGCGUAGAGAUCACGAAGAACUCCGAUUGCGAAGGCAGCCUGCUGGACUGUAACUGACGCUGAUGCUCGAAAGUGUGGGUAUCAAACAGGAUUAGAUACCCUUGUAGUC
rnacentral:rRNA from 1 species